UUUGUGGCGAGGAAACGCAGAGACGUACCACCCGAGAAAGGGCGGUCCCCAUCUCUUAUUUCUUCUUCUAUUGGUCUCUCCCUCCGUGCCUCUCUCACUAUUUUUCCUGUGGCCUUACUGCCUGAAAAGACGAGGGU
ensembl:ncRNA C17H12.31 ncRNA